rnacentral:rRNA from 1 species
UGGGGAAUCUUGCGCAAUGGGCGAAAGCCUGACGCAGCCAUGCCGCGUGAAUGAUGAAGGUCUUAGGAUUGUAAAAUUCUUUCACCGGGGAAGAUAAUGACGGUACCCGGAGAAGAAGCCCCGGCUAACUUCGUGCUAGCAGCCGCGGUAAUACGAAGGGGGCUAGCGUUGCUCGGAUUUACUGGGCGUAAAGGGCGCGUAGGCGGACAGUUUAGUCAGAGGUGAAAGCCCGGGGGGCUCAACCUCGGAAUUGCCUUUGAUACUGGCUGUCUUGAGUACGGGAGAGGUGUGUGGAACUCCGAGUGUAGAGGUGAAAUUCGUAGAUAUUCGGAAGAACACCAGUGGCGAAGGCGACACACUGGCCCGUUACUGACGCUGAGGCGCGAAAGCGUGGGGAGCAAACAGGAUUAGAUACCCUGGUAGUCCACGCCGUAAACGAUGAUUGCUAGUUGUCGGCACGCAUGCGUGUCGGUGACGCAGCUAACGCAUUAAGCAAUCCGCCUGGGGAGUACGGUCGC